GACGAACGCUGGCGGCGUGCCUAACACAUGCAAGUCGAGCGAUGAAACCCUUCGGGGUGGAUUAGCGGCGGACGGGUGAGUAACACGUGGGUAACCUGCCUCAAAGAGGGGGAUAGCCUCCCGAAAGGGAGAUUAAUACCGCAUAAUAUUAGUUUUUCGCAUGAAGAACUAAUUAAAGGAGUAAUCCGCUUUGAGAUGGACCCGCGGCGCAUUAGCUAGUUGGUGAGGUAAAGGCUCACCAGGGCGACGAUGCGUAGCCGACCUGAGAGGGUGAUCGGCCACAUUGGAACUGAGACACGGUCCAGACUCCUACGGGAGGCAGCAGUGGGGAAUAUUGCACAAUGGGCGAAAGCCUGAUGCAGCAACGCCGCGUGAGUGAUGAAGGCCUUCGGGUUGUAAAGCUCUGUCUUUUGGGACGAUAAUGACGGUACCAAAGGAGGAAGCCACGGCUAACUACGUGCCAGCCGCCGCAGUAAAAC
rnacentral:rRNA from 1 species